CUCUGCUGGCCGGACACAUUAUUUUCUGAUUUCAGAACAAGAAGAUGUGUUUGGGUGGUAGCAGCCUUGCACUUUGGCAGAUGUCAGACUGGGGUCCCAGAGCUCUGGGCCAGCGAUUCCCAUUGCUGCCUCAGGGCCUUAAGCAUCUGAGAGGCUCUAGAUUUGCAGCCUACACAUGCACAGGUCAUUCUCCCAUUCUGGCCUCAGCGGUCUAGGCCCUGCAGUUUUUGGCGCAAGCCUUUGGCUUACAUCUGGCUAGGCCCUUGGUGAGCUGCUGGUGCUCUGUGACUCUGAGUCGGGGGCGAGGCAUCCAAAAGAAUCAAGGUUUGGCUGAUGAGAGGUAUGAGCCAGACUCUAGAAGGAGGAGUCCAGCAAUGCAAAGAGGUUCUAGCACCUGGACACACAGGUGUUUCUCAUCCCAGGACUCCCUGCCGGCCCCCAUACAUCUCCUGAGAUCAGGCUUCCUCACGGCUGUGCCUAGGGCUUUAGUCCGCCAUUAUCUGAGUCUCCCAGAUAUUCUCGUCUCAGCUGAGGCUCUUCCUGCUUAAGGACCCACGACUUACACCUCUGCCCACCUGAAGCCACCCUGAGCUUGCCCUGUAGGCUCCUGGUUGCCUUCCUGGGAAGCCCCACACUCCACAUGCACCAUAUCCCCCACCCUGACACCAGGCUCUAGCUUUGGCCUGGCAGUUCUUCUUGGUGUUCAAAGAGGAGAACAUUUCCUGAACGAAGGGCCUUGGGUGAAGGGGCCAGCUUCCCUGUCGCAGGAUGCUGGCAUUGUGCUGGCAAGAGAGAGCAGCGGGCUGAGGCUGUUCUUUAGGGGAAGGCUGGAGAAACAGGCAGUGAUGGUCUCCUGGGACAAAUUCAAGACUGGUCUCUGCUGCUGGGAGGAAUACCUGGCCAAGAGGAUGUGGGUUUCCAAAUUGCUCUGGGUGACAUCUGCUUGUCACCAGUAAAACCAAAAGGACAGCGGGGUAGAUUGCCUUGAACAGCGCAGACAGACAAGAAGGAACUGCUCAAAAAAGACUUCUUGGACUUGGAGGAUGCAGCUAGAUCCACUCAUGGAUUCUUGUACAACAGCCUUGAUUCUUGGAUUCUAGAAAGUGUGUCUAUUUUCAGGGCAGUGGAACACAAUGGCUCUUAUCUGUUGUCCUGAGAAGUUUCAGAAUUAUGGGGAUUGGCACAGGAUUGUAAUACUUGGGAGGUUGAGGAAAACCUGGAGAAACUGGGGACAGAGCAAGGCUAAGUCUCCAUGUUUCUGUGGAAGCAGAUCUCUGAAGGCUUCCUUGAUUCUAGCAGUAUCUGUCUGCUGGGUAUCUAGGACACAUUCUUGCAUCUGUUGAGUAUCUUGCUACAUGAGAGCAUAUGUUUACCUAACAUUUAUCUGUUCAGCCAGAGGACAUAGCCUUCUUUGAUAGUGAGGACAGGGAACAGAUACAAUUUUAUGUACAGUUUGUCCUAGAAGCUGAAACUAGAUUUCAUCUAGGGCCCUGUUGUAUUCUUAUGGCAAGAUACCAGUGUUCUCAGGCAUUCUACUCCACCUGAUUUAAUUUGAUUCCACUGCACUCUGUGCUGUGUCGUUCCAUUCCAAUUUAUUUCGUUUCAAUUCAGGGCCACAGCUGUGCUAGUGGAGUGGUCCAAGGAUGAACAGACAAACUGUUGAUUCACAGGGAGUUCCAUACAGUAUGUUUUAUGAGGGACUAAUCUUGUGAACUUCUCUUGAGAAAAAGUUCUGUUGGCAUUCUCUCAUGGAGAGUCAUAUUAGCAUCUGAAAAUGUGUUGAGAGUUUACAAUAAAUAGAAGUUUAAUUUUGUUUAACCUGAGUUUCCCAAAGAUUUUUGGCCACAGAAAAGUUGUUGUUGGUGUUUAACUAGUUAU